GCCGAACACGUGCUUGCCAUAAACCUGCCUUGGUCACGUAGAGGUCAGAUGCUUGUCUUGUGACAAGGAACCAAUCGGAAGUUAGCUGGUGGCGCUAUGCUUUACGACCCUGGGUGUGCUUUACGGACAAGCGCACGACAAUGACGUAGAGAGCAUAGCAACCACCCUGGGAGGGCCUAUGAGCCAUAACAACCAGUUGACCAAUCAACACAGGGCAAGCCCUCCAAGCCUGGAGGCACACCAAUCGUAAGCCUGUGCGUACCCCUAGACACUCCCCUUACGCUGCCCUAUAAGAUCUUUGGGGAGACCUUAGGAGCCGUCUUUUUCUAGCUGUCCACCAUGGCGGGUGGGUGAAAGACCCGAGCUAACAUGGGGUUAGUUCGUUAAAUUACAAUAAAGCCUCGUGCAGUUUGCAGCAAGCUCUCGAAUCCGCCUGGUGAUUGGGGUGACCGCGAACCUGGCCUGAGACCCCGGAUACUUGAGUUUUCGGGGGUCUAACAUUUUGGGGGCUCGUCCGGGAUUUGCGACCACCCUUCACCUGAGUGGAUUCGAUCUUGGAGGUAAGAUGAUUAGAGCUCGCAACUUAUAUAUGUUCAAUGUUCUAUGUUUCUUGUUUUGUCUCUUGCUGUUUUGUUUGGUGCCAUGAUUUGUAUUUGAUCUGCGCAGAAUUUGUAUUUGUAAUUCGGACUUCUGGGGAUGACCCUAAAGUCCUGCCCUGGAUGAAAGUCCGAGGGUUGCUUGAUUUGAUCUGCGCAGAAUUUGUAAUUUGUAUUUGAUCUGCGCAGAAUUUGUAAUUGAACCAUAGGGUAAGCAGACUUGCGAGAACCUUGGUUCCACCCUGGAUGAAAGUCCAAGGUUUGGUUGUAAUUUUGGUUUGGGGCACCAUUUCUUUGCCGCGGUUUGUCCUGUCUAAUGUCUGUCCUGUCUAAUGUCUCCAUGUCUCAUAUUUGUGGCAUGCAUGGGUCAGGGGUCUUUUCUUGUUGCCCUAAGCACAUGGCACGGGAAAGGAGUUCUGCCAUGUGUCACGGGUUAGAAUGUGUUAUGUUGGAGUCCCCCGAGGCUGCUUUUCUGAACUCGAACCACUGCUGCAGCCCUUACAGCUGAGCCUGGCCCAUGUAGUUUAUAAUGUCAGACAGACUGCCAGAUCCGGACAGUGACCCAAAGUCUCCAAAGAAGAUUACGAGGCACUUCAGUUCCUGCACCUGGACCAGUGAGCAAGAUGCUCAGAUAUGAUACCUGCCGCCUGCCAGAACCUAGCCGAGACUGUGGACAAAGCUGCUGGACACUGGAAAAUUGAUUGCACCCCUUUGCCUAGACAAAACAAGGUCAGUCUUUUCCAUGUCCCUCUUCCACAGAGAGGAAAAAAACUCUCACAGUAUAGGCCUGGCGAAGAUUGCUGUUCUUUGAGACAGCUGCCUCCAACAGUAAUGGAGAAACUUGGGUUUGGCUAACUGUAUAUAGACUGGCUUCUAACUGGCUUCUGUCACUUUUUAGUAGAUUCGGACAAAAUAUACCCUUCUCAGAUCUCUGAAAUAUUACUGGUUGUCAGCUUGACAGCAUCAGGCAGUCAGGUCCACUAUAGACUAGUCAGUAUGUUAGCUAAUAAAAUAGUAACUAUCUACUGUUCAGGCACGAGCUCAAAGUUUUUAAGUUUAUUUUGGUUGUCAUCUAAGUACAAACUUAAAGGGCUUUUCAUCAGGCCAAAGGCACCUCUGUCCAAUCCAUACCUGGCUCUCUGGACAGAAGAAAAAUGUACAUGCUUAUAGCCCAAAUCUGCAGUUUUUGCUAGGACUCAAAGUUAUAAAUAUGUUCUUGCUGUUUAAACAGAUAUCUGCUUUUUCUACACUGUGGGCUUCAAUAAAUAAGCUUUAACCUCUGUUCCUAGUUUAAACAUGUCUUAAACAGGUUUCUGCUUCUGGCAGACAUCUGAAUAUCAGUUGCUGACUACAGACUGUUCUAAGACUGCGAGCCCUGAACUUGCUGUGGAUGUGAACCAGUUCAGCUGAUAUGGACACCCCCUGUCUCUGCAACAGUGUCUGCUACCCAGAAGCCCCUGAUGAAUUCCCCAUUGCCUAAAUUCCUUUUUGCUUUUGACUAGCAUUUCAACCUUCUGGGGUCCCUAACUUCGUCCCAAAGUCAGCAGGAAGCAGUUUAGAAAAGAAUUUCGCCGUCCAUUUUCCCUGGUUAAAAUGCUAAGUCAAAAGGAACUCCCUUACAUGGGGAUGCCAAUAUCUAUCACUCCCUGAUGGGGAUGCUAGAGAGACAGCAAUUCCAUGAUUGGAAUUUCCAGAAAAGAAAAUGGGGGAAUGAAGGAACCGGCUUCCCUUUUGGCAGCCAUUACAGCCGAACACGUGCUUGCCAUAAACCUGCCUUGGUCACGUAGAGGUCAGAUGCUUGUCUUGUGACAAGGAACCAAUCGGAAGUUAGCUGGUGGCGCUAUGCUUUACGACCCUGGGUGUGCUUUACGGACAAGCGCACGACAAUGACGUAGAGAGCAUAGCAACCACCCUGGGAGGGCCUAUGAGCCAUAACAACCAGUUGACCAAUCAACACAGGGCAAGCCCUCCAAGCCUGGAGGCACACCAAUCGUAAGCCUGUGCGUACCCCUAGACACUCCCCUUACGCUGCCCUAUAAGAUCUUUGGGGAGACCUUAGGAGCCGUCUUUUUCUAGCUGUCCGCCAUGGCGGGUGGGUGAAAGACCCGAGCUAACAUGGGGUUAGUUCGUUAAAUUACAAUAAAG
ensembl:lncRNA